rnacentral:lncRNA from 10 species
AAAGUAAUUGCAGCUGGUUAACAUUAAAGCCAGAACUAGAACCCAGAGCUUCUGGUUCCAACCUUGGCCAGAGUCUUUGUGUUGUUUUUAUUUCCCUUAGCCUCACUGUCUAGAACAGUGUAUGGGAAGUAAAAUAAAAUUGAUUUUUUAAAAAUGCAUUAUUUUUAAUUGUUUUAUUAUUUUAGAGACAGAGUCUUGCUAUGUUGCCAAGGCUGGAGUGAAGUCUCAUAAUCAUGGUUCACUGUGAACUCGAUCUCCACAGCUCAAGGGAUCCUCCUGCUUCAGCAUCCCAACUAGCCAGGAAUGCAGAUCAGCCAUAUUCUAACAAUACAUUUCAAAGUACUGCUGACGGAGGCUCCACCUGAAACCUGUUCUCUCAGAUAAGUAUCUUCAUCCCAUUCAUCGUUUCAAGAAAAAUAAAUAAAUAAAUCUUACAGCACGGCAGCAUUUUCAUCUGCUUUGGUUUCAGCCAGAGAUAAACUGUUCCUGCUGCAAAGUAAUUAAUAUCAGUCGCCUGGAAAGCAGAAAUUGGGAGACAACAGGCUCCUCUUUCUUGAUAAACAGAUUGUUGGGUAAGGUAUGCACAUGGAUGUGACAAUUCAUUUGGCCAUAGAAAUAGCAGAAAUGAGACGUUUUUAGACAGAUAUUUGGAAGGCAUGAGCAAAUAUCCCCAGGCUUCAUCCAUUUGAGCUCAGAUGAGUCUUUUGCGCUAGGUUUUGAGCUUCUCUAAGUCCCUAGGAUCAGCAGAAAUCUCUAGACCCCCCAGGGGUGUACCCUUAAAACAAUACGCAGAAUCAGUACGAUCAUGGCCAACUCCUGGGAAAGCUGGCUCUAUGCCCGAGUCCUUUGCAGCCCCCGCCUUCCUGACCCAACUUCCCAUGUGACUAAGGAAUCAAAAACUUGGCCUAGUUGAUAUAUAAUCCAGGCAAUCAGAAAUUAGAACCGUGCGGCUAGGAAAGAUGAGCAAAAGAUGCUUAGAAACAAGACAAGCAGAAAACAACCUCCCCAGAGCUAUCCUGUGUGGGGAAACCUCCAAAAGCUAGGGAAAGACAGCGUAUGUUUUGUAUGGUCCAGGAGGAGCAAGCUCAUCAUGGCUGCCUGCAAAUGAAGAAAUCAUGUUUCUGUCAUAGCAAAAUGGUUAUGUUUUGGAGUGUUCUGUGAAUGAGACAUGAGAGGGGAAACGCCACCACACAAGUAUUCCUUACAUUCAGUUCUUCAGAGAAGGCUUCAGGGAUCAUUUUCCCAUCUCAAAAAGCAUAAAUUGCCAUUUUAUAGGAGCUUGAGAAGAAUAUUCUAGAAGUGAUUCAGAGCCAGGACAUUUGGGGAUUUGUUUAGGUUUCCUUUGGGAGGGGAAGGAAUAACCUUGAAGAGAGGUGAGAAUUGUCAUGGAUUUUGUGUGACUUGUUACUCAAGAUGACUCAUUAAGCUGCCAAGAGCCUCACAGCCCAUCCAAACUUCUCAAACAACCCCUUCAAUUCCAGCCCUUGACCUGAUCUAUGUAGAGGGUUGGAAAAUUCACAGCAAUACAAAGCUAUGGAAACAGACUGUCAUCCACAUAUAUGUUGGGUGAUGGGGGAGACAUGAAGAGUGAGAGACUGUGGAGACAGGAAAGUAGCAACAUUUGCCAUGAGAUUUUCCUCGAAACCAUCUCCUUCUUGAAUUUAGACACUCAUUGUUUAUGUGCAGUGGCCCUAGGUACAGAAGGGUCACCACCCCAAGGAGAACUAUACCCUCCGGACUCAUAAACCAAAUUCUAGCCAGAUUCUCCCGGAAUAAAAUACUACAGUUCAUCCAUUAAGCUAAAUCUCCUUUCAACAAUUCCCUUCUUACCUGGCCCAUGAAAUGAAUAAUGAAGAGAUUAUUUUCUGGGCAAAUUGGUAGAAAAAUCCUGAUGCAGACAGUUCCCCUUCUGAUUGCACCUGACUUCCAUUCAUUGACUAUCACAUCAAGUAGUGGUUCUGGGAAUUCAAAGGAGAGCUCAGCAAAAGAAGAAGAAAAAAAAGCCCACAAAGUUUUUCAAGGUACCUACUGCAGUUAUCAGUUCAUAGAUCUAAAUGUUCGCACUGUAUGCUUGAUUUGCACAUUCCAAACCAAUUUGGUAAUUUUUUUCAUUUUUAUCUACACGCAUGAAGUGAUUUGGAAUACUGAAACAAUUUAGAAUCAUAUUUCGUUUGCAACAGUUCAAUUAACUUAAGUGCUGGAACAUGCUCUCCAACUGGUAACUAGUUUAAUUGGUUACUAUUACAAGAAAUAAAUUCUAUAGUCCUGGGGCCUCCCAGUGUCCUUUCUAGACAGGGCCCGGCCAUGCAGAGGUAUGUGGGAGUGGGAAGGUGAGGAGUGUAGCAAAAUUUCUUACUUAAAAAAGAAAAAUCCAAGAACCCAUUCUCUUAAUAACUAGGUAUGAGUUUCCAUUUUCUGCUGUGAUUUUAUGACCUCCAGUUCCCUUGGAUCAACUUUACAACCACUCAAUAAGCAAGAGAAGGGUGUGGAUCAAGGGUCGAAGACUUUUAAAGCUAUUGCAUAAAUGCACUUAAGCAUGAGCCAAAGUGAUAAAUAGGAAACCAAGACGCAUGUCAGGAAUGCAGCAAAGAAUGAGUAGCUGGGACACUUUGAGCAGCUGUUAAGGCAACUCCAAACCCCUGGAAAGAAGGAUUUCCUUCUGGCUUACACCAAGGCUCAAUUGCUCUAGUUGCAUUUGCAUUGAAAGGCACUACUGCCAAAUUGUACAAGAACACUUAUAGUAGAAAAACAUGUAAAUUGUCAAAAGAUACAAAAUAAUACUGCAUCUCAUUUGUGGAUAUACGGAAAUGUAGUUAAAGAGAAAAAGUGAGUAGGCAUAACACAUACUAACUAUUGGGGAGAGAAUGCUACUGAGGAAGAAAGGAGAAUAAAGGGAUAGGUAUGUGAUUUAAGUGCAAUCUUAAGCAUAUUGAAUAAAAUAUUAACAUCUCAUAAAGCUGGGUAUGAGAUACAUGGGGCUCAAUUCUAUUAUUUUAUGCACUUUCAUGUUUAUUUGAAAUGAUUUCUAAUUAAAAGUUAGAAACACUUAAAAAAAGAAUCAGUCCCUGUUUCGCAGCCAUUGGCAAACCAGUCAUUUCUCAAAAAAUUCUUCUGUCUUAAGAUCACAAACUCUGGAGGCAUCACGCUACCUGACUUCAAACUAUACUACAAGGCUACAGUAACCAAAACAGCAUGGUACUGGUACCAAAACAGAGAUAUAGAUCAAUGGAACAGAACAGAGCCCUCAGAAAUAAUGCUGCAUAUGCAUAUCUACAACUAUCAUCUGAUCUUUGACAAACCUGAGAAAAACAAGCAAUGGGGAAAGGAUUCCCUAUUUAAUAAAUGGUGCUGGGAAAACUGGCUAGCCAUAUGU